rnacentral:lncRNA from 1 species
UUUAGGCAGUUUUAAGUCUAUCGUGAAUCAUCUUUACCUUAUCCAUGGCUUGGUGAACCAAAUCUGGGCCAAACAUAUCUUCCUCACCAACCUCAAACCACCUAAUAAGAGACCUAUAUCGCCUACCAUACAAAGCCUUAAAUGGAGCUAUCCCAAUGUUAGAGUGGUAGCUCCUAUUCUACGCAAACCUUAUAAGAGGUAAAUGUUCAACCCAACUACCACCA